rnacentral:rRNA from 1 species
CGGGACGGGUGAGUAAUGUCUGGGAAACUGCCUGAUGGAGGGGGGUAACUACUGGAAACGGUAGCUAAUACCGCAUAACGUCACAAGACCAAAGAGGGGGACCUUCGGGCCUCUUGCCAUCGGAUGUGCCCAGAUGGGAUUAGCUAGUAGGUGGGGUAACGGCUCACCUAGGCGACGAUCCCUAGCUGGUCUGAGAGGAUGGCCAGCCACACUGGAACUGAGACACGGUCCAG